ACCCAGCUGACGAGUCCCAAAUAGGACGAAACGUGCGUCCUAGGU
rfam:Schistosoma curassoni strain Dakar, Senegal genome assembly, scaffold: SCTD_contig0003816